UAGCUCCCUUGAACCAAAACUUCGUGUGCUAGUCGAGGUUCCGAGCGCUCGUCGGUACCGAGCAUAGGCCGAAAGAGAGAGGAUAGGGAGAGGGACAACCACUCUAGCCAUCUCAUGAUCAUGCCAUGGUUCAGACGUCGAUUGGUGCCAUAGAGAAGUCGUCGUCGCUUGAGAAGUUUGUGGGUAGCACUAUGGGACGCGAGGGUCGACCAGAGUAUGAUGAGUUGCUUGCUGAAAUUCGUCGAACCAUGGUGCAACAUCGCUGACACUCGUCGUUGGUUCAAACACCGAAAAGCGAGGUUACGAGGAAUCUGAAGUCCAAACUUGGAGAAGUGCUUGGAGUUAAGCCAAAAGGCAGUUGUGUCCUUUAUCACAUUCUUUGACCUUAUAAUAUUACCUUUUAUGUUCUCACCUAAUUCACUGUUAAGUUAACUUGAUGGGACCUUAUGUUA